GCCCCCGUAGCUCAGAGGACCGAGCGCCGCUUUCCUAAAGCGGGCGUCGCCGGUUCGAGUCCGGCCAUGGGCA
rnacentral:tRNA from 1 species